rnacentral:rRNA from 1 species
UACGUAGGUGGCAAGCGUUGUCCGGAUUUACUGGGCGUAAAGAGCGCGCAGGCGGUCGUUCAAGUCGGGUGUGAAAGCCCCCGGCUCAACUGGGGAGGGUCACGCGAUACUGAUCGACUCGAAGGCAGGAGAGGGUAGUGGAAUUCCCGGUGUAGUGGUGAAAUGCGCAGAGAUCGGGAGGAACACCCGUAGCGAAGGCGGUUCUCUGGGCCGGUACUGACGCUGAGGAGCGAAAGCGUGGGGAGCAAACAGG